UACUGUGUCCAUCCCCACAUACGACCUCAUC
rnacentral:piRNA from 1 species